GUUCCCAAGGGUCAGGAAGAGACUGCUACAUGGCUUGGCUUCAGACCCCUGCAAAGAUCUCCACCUGAAGCGUGGAUGAGGCUGGGGAAGGAAGCCUCCCGGAAAGCAGACUGUCUGUGACGGCGGCUGUCAAAGCAAGCGCUGUUGCUAAGGGAACCGCCUGGGAAGAGCCUCUUGUGGAGAUGAAGUCAGCCCACCUCAAGCAGCCGCCAGGAGACACGGGUUUGAUCGCCAGUUGGGGAAGACCCCACACACCGUGGAGCAAUUAAACCCAUGCACCACAACUACUGAGCCUGUGCUCUAGAGUCCAGGAACUACAACUCCUGAAGUCCAUGCACCCCAGAGCCUGGCUUUGCAACAAGAGAGGCCACCUCAAUGAGAAGCUCAAGCAACACAACUAGAAAAUAGCCCCCACUUGCCACAACCAGAGAAAAGCCUGUGCAACAGUGAAGAUCCAGAACAGCCAUAAAUAAAUUAUUUUUUUAAAUGGUCAAAGCAAAUUUCUCCUCUCCCAAGAAUUUAGACACAAUUCAGGGAACUCACACACUGGAAUUGUCUGGCCUGGCACCUGGGACGUAGUGGCGUGGGCAAGUUUGGGUCCCUCCCUUUAUUCCAGGAGACUGGGACUUCAUUGACCCAGCCUGUGCACAAGGCUCUGAUUGCUU